GGGGCUGACCGGUUUAGACAGCGGGUAGAAGUGGUUUGUAAGCAUGUAGUGCGUGGUUGGCUUGCACUUAAAUCCCAGACAACGAACUAUUAACUGGCGAAGAAACAUACGCUCUCGCUGCUUAAUCGAAGUACAGUAGAUUGAAGCUUAAUCCCGGCGCCAGGCGUUGGAACGAGACAUCACCCGGAUGCUGUUGCUCCGAAGCGUUCCGAUAGGGUGGUGCAGCAAUAUCGGAGAUAGUUUAAAGUAAUCCUCGGACUUUAAGUGAAAAUUUAGAGGAUAAGGUUAGAGUUGGUAGCUUCGGUCUUGCUCUUUCCCUACAAUUAAAGCGAAGAUAAACAUGUAGAAAGCAAAUUAGUUCCUCGUUUGGACGAUAGUUCGAAUCUCUCCAGCUCCACUU
rnacentral:tmRNA from 1 species